CACCUUGCCCUUGUCCCACCGGAAUCCGAUGGCUACUCUGGGAGACUCCUGCGAUCGGCCUCAGGUGGUGGAAAGACCAUUCUCUACAUUGCACUGAUUCAAGAAGAAAUCGACACAAGUCCUCUCCCACCAGAUGCACCUGAGUUUGCUAGAAUGCCCGAGGCAAAUUGCCACAAGUGUGGUAAACUAAUGCCUGUACAGCUGCUGCCAGUCCUGUGGGUCUGCAGGUCACAGUACGGAGCCAGACAAGGAUCUCAGCAUUGCUGGAGUGGCAGAGAUGGAAUCUGAUGUAAUGGAUUGUAGAGUGGUACAGGCAUCGUGUCCGAUCUGUCUGAAAAUGUAUCCCAUCGCUAACCUUGAGGUUCAUGCCAGUUUUUGUGAGAGAACCGAAGUGCAAGAUGGACCCCAUGUGCAAGUGAUAU